rnacentral:rRNA from 1 species
CCUACGGGUGGCAGCAGUGGGGAAUAUUGGACAAUGGGCGAAAGCCUGAUCCAGCCAUGCCGCGUGUGUGAAGAAGGCCUUCGGGUUGUAAAGCACUUUCAGUGGGGAAGAAAGCCUUGGGGCUAAUACCCUCGAGGAAGGACAUCACCCACAGAAGAAGCACCCGCUAACUCCGUGCCAGCAGCCGCGGUAAUACGGAGGGUGCGAGCGUUAAUCGGAAUUACUGGGCGUAAAGCGCGCGUAGGCGGUCUGAUAAGCCGGUUGUGAAAGCCCCGGGCUCAACCUGGGAACGGCAUCCGGAACUGUCAGGCUAGAGUGCAGGAGAGGAAGGUAGAAUUCCCGGUGUAGCGGUGAAAUGCGUAGAGAUCGGGAGGAAUACCAGUGGCGAAGGCGGCCUUCUGGACUGACACUGACGCUGAGGUGCGAAAGCGUGGGUAGCAAACAGGAUUAGAUACCCCUGUAGUC